CUGACACGGUUCAGGCAUCAUCGCCCACCUGCUGCAUGCAGAGCUGCAGCGAGGAGCCAUGGAUGCAGAUCCUGAGACACAGAGCUCCUGUGAGCCUGAAGCUGCCAGGAGUGUGGUGGAAGCUGAGGAGGACGAGGUGCUGCGUGAAGCUUAGCUGGUGCCUGCGGUUUCCAGAGAUUUUACCAAAAUUCACAAGGAGACAAAAAUGGAAGCAUUUUAUACCAGCAGUUGCCUACUGAAGUGACGUAGAUAAUUCUAGAAGCACACAAACUACCAAAACUGACUCAGAAGAAAUGGAAAACCUGAGUAGACCUAUAAUUAGUACAUUGACGGAAGCAGUCAUGAGAACUUCCCAACAAAGCCCAGAACCUGAUGCUUUCCAUGCUGAUGUGUCCCACACAUUUGAAGAAGACAUAAUACUCAUGCUUCUGAAAUUCUGCAAAAAGUACAAGAGGAGGGCACACUUCCCGACUCACCCUAGAAUGCCAGCAUUGUCCUGAUUCUAAAGACUGACAAACAUCUUUGAGAAAAGGCAACCGCAGCCCAGAAUCCAUUAUGAAGAGAGAUAGAAAAAUCCUAGCAAACAAGAUUCUAGCAGCACAUUGACAGGACUCUACAUCAUGACCAAGUAUGAUUUAGGCCGGGGAGACAAAGGCUGUUCUCUAUACUAAUCAACGUCCUAUGCUACAUCAGUAAGACACAUCCUCUUAGUUGUUGUAGGAUAAGCUUUGACAAAAUCCAAACCCUUUCAUGAUACAUGCUCUCAAGAAAAUAGAAAUAGAAUUCUCAAUUACAGGGAAGGAGGAACACCUGGGGCACUUGGUUGAGUAUCUGACUCUUAGUUUGGGCUCAGGUCAUGAAUGCAUGGGUGUUGAGAUCUAGGACCCAUUGGUCUCUGCCCUCAGAGGGGAGUUUGAUUGGAGAUUCUAACCCUCUGCACCUACCCCCAUUCAUGUGCACACACCCUUUCUCUCAAAUAAAGAAAUAAAUCUUGUGGCUGGUGUUGGCUCUGGAGCUUGCCAGGCUCCAGCUGGGAACUGGAGGCAAAGCUAGUACUGGACAUGAGAGUGACUUGAGCUGGUUCUAGCUCUAGAUCUGGUGCUAGAGAAGUAUCUCUGGUGCUUUCACAGGAAUUGGUGAUCAAAUUUCCUUUCUGGCAUUCGAAUUUGAACUAGGGUCUAGUGUUUUCUGGUCCAGUUUCAAUGUGAGAGCUGCUGCUAGAGCUUCAUCUACCUCAGGAGCUUGUCCUCGAGAUACCUGUCCACAGAAGCUGCUGUAAGAAGUGCUCUAACAUGGGCAUGGGAUGGAACUUUGGAGCUCAAGCUAGAUCAGUGCUGCAGCUGGCUCCUCCUCUGAACCCGGCUUUGUCUAUGGUACUUCACGCUGCGGGAAGGACAUGGCCCUGAGGUCUCAGGGAGGUGUUGGCCCCCCACCGCUCGGAGCUGCAGAGAGGAGCCAGGAGACCUCAAAAUGCAAACACAGUAUACAACCCAGUUGUGAGCAGCGGUUCCUGGGGGUGGGGUGG